GGGUCAGUAGGUUGGUCGUGCCACCGGUACGUACUGGUCUCACUGAUUCCUCCUUCCUGAAGAACCGUAAUGCCAUUAAUUUGGUGUGGCGGGGAAACAGGACUGUUACUUCGAAAAAAUUAGAGUGUUUAAAGCAAGCUAACGCUUGAAUACAUUAGCAUGGAAUAAUGAAAUAGGACGAUCGAUCCUAUUUUGUUGGUUUCUAGGAUUGACGUA
rnacentral:rRNA from 1 species